rnacentral:rRNA from 1 species
UGGGGAAUAUUGGACAAUGGGGGCAACCCUGAUCCAGCAAUGCCGCGUGUGUGAAGAAGGUCUUCGGAUUGUAAAGCACUUUCGACGGGGACGAUGAUGGCGGUACCCGUAGAAGAAGCCCCGGCUAACUUCGUGCCAGCAGCCGCGGUAAUACGAAGGGGGCUAGCGUUGCUCGGAAUGACUGGGCGUAAAGGGCGUGUAGGCGGUUUACACAGUCAGAUGUGAAAAUCCCCGGGCUUAACCUGGGAGCUGCAUUUGAUACGUGUAGACUAGAGUGUGAGAGAGGGUUGUGGAAUUCCCAGUGUAGAGGUGAAAUUCGUAGAUAUUGGGAAGAACACCGGUGGCGAAGGCGGCAACCUGGCUCAUGACUGACGCUGAGGCGCGAAAGCGUGGGGAGCAAACAGGAUUAGAUACCCUGGUAGUCCACGCUGUAAACGAUGUGUGCUAGAUGUUGGGUAACUUUGUUAUUCAGUGUCGCAGUUAACGCGUUAAGCACACCGCCUGGGGAGUACGGCCGCAAGGUUGAAAACUCUAAA